GAUGAAGAACGCAGCGAAAUGCGAUACUUGGUGUGAAUUGCAGAAUCCCAUGAACCAUCGAGUCUUUGAACGCAAGUUGCGCCCGAAGCCAUUAGGCCGAGGGCACGCCUGCCUGGGCGUCACACGUCGUUGCCCCCCCAUCUACUCCUUCGGGAUUGCGGGGGGCGGAUGAUGGCCUCCCGUGUGCCUCGCCGCGCGGUUGGCAUAAAUGCCAAGUCCUCGGCGACGCACGCCACGACAAUCGGUGGUUGCGAAACCUCGGUUGCCCGUCGUGUGCGGUCGUCGCGCAUCGAGGGCUCGAAAAAAUUGCCGGGUUCCGGCUCGGCUUUCAACGCGACCCCAGGUCAGGCGGGGUUACCCGCUGAAUUUAAGCAUAUCAAUAAGCGGAGGA
rnacentral:misc_RNA from 1 species